GAAACCAUAAACACUGUCAUGCAAAUCAACCCCCCUAUAAAAUAUGAGGUGUUCUAAGGAGAAGUCAGUUUCUGUGUUCAGCUUUCACUCAAACCAUGUUCUCUAGAUUUCUCCUCCUGCUGUUAACAGCUGCAUCUGGAAUUAAAUGUAUUGAACUGGUUCAGCCUGCAGUCAUGGUGGUUAAGCCUGGAGAAUCAUUUAAACUCCCCUGUAAGAUCACUGGGUACACCGCCACAGGCUCCUGUACUAACUGGGUACGACACGCAUCAGGAAAAGCACUGGAAUGGAUCGGCUGGUACUGCAGCUCCAGUGAUACUGGCAGCAUAAAUUCACUAAAGAACAAAAUCCAUUACUCAGCCGAGGCCUCCAGCAACACUGUGAUCUUACACGGGCAAAACUUUCAGGCUGAGGACACAGCUGUGUAUUACUGCGCUCGUGAACACAGUUAAACAGAUCAACGAGG